rnacentral:rRNA from 1 species
UACGUAGGGUGCGAGCGUUAAUCGGAAUUACUGGGCGUAAAGCGUGCGCAGGCGGUUUUGUAAGCCAGGUGUGAAAUCCCCGGGCUCAACCUGGGAAUGGCAUUUGGGACUGCAAGGCUUGAGUGCGGCAGAGGAGACUGGAAUUCCUGGUGUAGCAGUGAAAUGCGUAGAUAUCAGUCGGAACACCGGUGGCGAAGGCGGCUUCUUGGGCCCUUCCUGACGCUGAGGCGCGAAAGCCAGGGGAGCGAACGGG